rnacentral:rRNA from 1 species
UGANCGCUGGCGGUCUGCUUAACACAUGCAAGUCGAACGAACUCUUCGGAGUGAGUGGCGGACGGGUGAGUAACGCGUGAGAAUCUGCCUGUGGGUCGGGGACAACCACUGGAAACGGUGGCUAAUACCGGAUGAGCCGAAAGGUAAAAAAUUUAUUGCCCACAGAUGAGCUCGCGUCUGAUUAGCUAGUUGGUAAGGUAAAAGCGUACCAAGGCGACGAUCAGUAGCUGGUCUGAGAGGAUGAGCAGCCACACUGGGACUGAGACACGGCCCAGACUCCUACGGGAGGCAGCAGUGGGGAAUUUUCCGCAAUGGGCGAAAGCCUGACGGAGCAAGACCGCGUGGGGGAGGAAGGUUUUUGGAUCGUAAACCCCUUUUGUCAAGGAAGAAGUUCUGACGGUACUUGACGAAUAAGCCUCGGCUAACUCCGUGCCAGCAGCCGCGGUAAUACGGAGGAGGCAAGCGUUAUCCGGAAUGAUUGGGCGUAAAGCGUCUGUAGGUGGCCAGCUAAGUCUGCUGUUAAAGAUCACAGCUCA